GCUUUUGUACACACCGCCCGUCGCUACUACUGAUUGAAUGAUUUAGUGAGCUCUUCAGACUGGCAUGUGGCAUCGACUCUAUCAUAGCUGAUGCUACCAGAAAGGUGACCAAACUUGAUCAUUUAGAGGAAAUAAAAGUCAUAACAAGGUUUCCGUGGACGAACCUGUGGAAGGAUCAUUA
rnacentral:rRNA from 1 species